AGGUAAAUGAAAUAGACACGAGAGGACAAUAGUUAUCCACCACCCAGAAUACAUAAUUGAGAUUCCUUUGAAUUUUACUUCUCUCUCUAGGCACACCUCCUUCAUGCUGCUGCUUCUUUCUAAAAUUUUGCCUAUAAAUACUGAGAACGGGUGUAGUUCAAAAAUAUAGCAAAUUCAAAUCAUUCCUUAAAAGCUUUCCUUUUGCAGUACAUAUUUAACGUCCAAAACCUUAAUAUCUCACCAUGUCUUCAUGCGGUAACUGCGAUUGCUCUGACAAGAACAACUGUGUCAAGAAGGGAAACAGCUUCGGCAUUGAAAUCAUCGAGACCGAGAUGAGCUACGACAACUUCGCCGUCUCAGGAGCUGAGGGAGACUGCAAGUGCGGUCCAAGCUGCACCUGCACCGACUGCAAAUGCGGUCAUUAAGUAUUUCCAUAUUUAAGCUCUGAAAAUGAUGAAGAGCAGAAAUGGGAUUCAACGUGGGAUAUGUAUUAAAGUGUGAUUAUGUUUUGAAUAAGCAGGGGUUUUGUACUUGUACAAAAUCUUGUCUUUGUAUUUGUGUUUUAGAAGAAAAAGACUGUGUGUUGACUUUGUCUCUAUGUCAGAGUUUCAUGUAAUAGACUUGUGUUUGCUUUAAUGAAUAUUAUUAUUGUUAUUACUACUA